GAAUUAUUGAAAUGAAGGCUCUUGACCUGAAGGACCUUCCAGCCUGUAUCCUUUCGUUGCCACGUGCAGAGAAGAGAAGCUGCCCCAGGGACGGUGGAGAGGCAUAAUGUGGAGCAACUGUUUGAAGGGAGGAAUGAAAGCACAUCCUGAUGUCUUGGAGCUAAGAGAAGGAAAAGGAUAUUUACAUAAGAUGAGAUG
rnacentral:lncRNA from 12 species